AACAGCAUAGCAUAUUGCACAAAAGCAAAACAUUGAAUAUAAAUUCAAAUUAUAUAACCAAUUCUAAGUUCUUUGACUACAGUUAUUCUGUGUCAGAAAUCUAUUAUGUGUUAAAUAUACUUGUAUCAAGCACGAAUAUUGUGUCCAUUUUUGCCCCAACUGUUCAGGGUUGGACCUCUGCAGUCAUAUCCAGCUGCGCUUGGCGAAGCAAUUUAUUGUGACAUUGACAUAAUAUUGUUUAACUUCUCAGUUUGAAUUAUCUUACAGAUAUUUUAAUCUUCAUUUCAUUGAUGUUUUAUCUAACAUUUAUUCCCAAGAUAUACAAAGUGACCAAAAGGAAAAGUUAACAUUAGUUGUGUAUAACUUGCCAUGUUUGUGAAAUUAUCAUAUCAAGAUAUUGUGGAGGCUGAAUAGAUGUAGAAUUCUUUAUGUAACAAAACACAACAUUUUUGAAACUGAGCUUGAACAUUUUGUCAAUUAAGAAUGGAAUAAAAAAAAUUGUUAUUUAUUGACUGAUUUUUACAACACUUAUUCAGAAAAAAAUGUGUUUAGUGUUGUUUCAGGAAAGUAGGAACUUAUGUAAUCAUCAGUGUUGUACCAGAAAAUUUAAAUCAAUGAUUACUUAACUCCAAAAAAUUUAGUUGGUUACAUCAACUAGCCUAUCCACCUAUUGGAUUUCAUUAAAAUUAUGCAAAAUAUUGUACUUAUUGCAAAUAUUUUUAAGAAGUUGAUUUUUUGAAAUUUUAAAUAAAUUUUGUAAACAUUUAGAUCAAAUUGCACCUGAAUAUUGAAAAAAAUAAAACGUGUGAAAAAGAUCUAUAAAUUUAUAGAAUGUGUGUGAAAGGUACUGUAAAUAUGCAUUUUCAUUUCACUAUAGAUAGCCAUUUGUGUAAACUUUGGGUUGUACAGCGACAAAUAUUUGUUUAAUGGCUAUGCAAGUUUAUUGUCAGUAAACACUAAAAAUGGAAAAUACUGAAAUCGAUUUGUUACAUUUGACUUUUUUUUUUUUUUUUCUAAAUUAUCCUGAAAUCUUUGAAAGAAUAAAACUAUAUUUACAUAUAGAAUAAUCAAAAUUGAGACUUUCCAAUAAGUCAUAAAAUUAGCAAAGAAAAUUUUUGUAUUAUCAUCACAGCUCAGGGCUUGCUGUCAGUUUUGUGGUAUUAUUUUAUUUUUAUUGAUGUACACUUGAUAUAUUUGUUAUUGCAUGUUAUCAUAUCAUUAUUCUAAAAAUUGUUGUGAGAAUUUUUAACAAGUUAAUAGUCUCACUUAGUCUAGGGUCUAAAUCUAGAGGUCUUAGGUGUUGAAGGACAACUAAUCAGCCACACCUGGUAAUUACUGUUAUUGUCGUUCCCUGGCCGUUAUCACCCUGCUCAGUAAUUCUUGUAUCACAGCUUUGAGGCGUGAGCAGACAUUAUCAGAGACGUCACAAUGUGUGAUGAGACGUUAUCAAGCUUACUUUUGUUAAGCUUAAAACCGUCUAAGGAAAGGUUAAAAGACUAGUAACAGAAAGAUAAACAGAUUAUUAGGUUUUCUAUGUAUAGAUAUUGUAAAAUAUCAGCCACCCCACACAAUGUGAAGCUGUUUUGCUCUUUUGCUGUGCUCACUCACCAAACAAGUUCACAUUGUGGCUAGUGACUGAUAUUUUACAAUAUCAAUGUGUAGAAAACCGAAUAAUCUAUACUUAUUUGGAUAAUAAUUUAAGGCUAUAAACAGUAGAAAGGGAAGUCAUUUUUAUGUUAAGGUAAAUUUAACCCCUUUUCUCUGUCACCAGGAUAGUUACAAGUUAUUUAGUUAACCUCUAUUUAAGUUUGAGUGUCUUCUUUUGUUGUUAUGUUACAUAUGAGCUGCGUGGGAUAGAAAUCAACCUUAUGCAAGUGCAUAUGUACAUGUACAUUUUUAAGACUUUGAUUGAUUUUGGAACAUUCAAAUACAAAAUAAAAAGAUGAAUUUUGGUCUGUUUUUGUAAAUUUUCUUAUAACAGCUCAAUUUUCAAACAGUAACAGACUUUCCAUAAAUAUUUUUUCAACUAGAAAUAGGUUAACAGAUGUGUUAAUAAUCAUUUGCAUAAGGUUGAUUUCUAUCCAAUGCAGCUCAUAAAGUUCAUUUAUUUUUAUGUAGUUUUGUAUCUCAUCAAUAUUUAUAACUUUAUUUUCAUAAUAUAUUUUUUAUGUUUAUUCAAAAAGCAAUAUAUCAAUAACAGGAUUUGUGUUAUAUGAAGUUAUAUAAGACGAUAAAGUGUUGUUACAUAGGUCAUAUGUAAAGUCUACAUAUGUAAACAGCUUGUGAAUUCAUCAAAUUUACAUGAUACAUUGUAAAUUGAAUAGGUUCAUGGCUUUUACUGAUGAAAAUUAUGAAUUUGAAGAAUAAAAAUGAAACAUUCAUAUAUCAACUUUUAGUGUUUGUCCAAAACUAUCAUUCCCUUUUGACUUACAUCUUCUUGUCAGAAUGAUUGGAGAUAUUAGUCAGGGACUCUGUCUCUCUAGGUUGUGUAUUCUUAGCUUACAAUGUAUGAACUGGCCCUUGUGAUUUUAUAUAUGUGUUACCAAACUGUUGUAUAUUUGAACCUUAUUUAUUUAUUAUACAUGUCAUUGUUUAAUAGCUUCAUAAUAUUGCUACAAUAAUAUACCUUGUAAACCUUGCUUUAAAUUGUGUUCAAGUUUUAUUUAAUAACCAUAUAUUUUUCAUGGAAGCUAAUUAUAUCAGAUUAAAUAUAUAGAUAUACAUGUGUAGCAAAAUAACAUUUAGUUACUAAAGUAGUAUAUAAAUAGUCAGGUAAAGAAAUUAUCUAAUAAAGGGAGGGAAUUUACAGCAUUACUGUAGCUGAACUACCUUUGAUAUAUAAUGAUCAGAAUUAGUAAAAGACUCUGAUAUUGACCAGUCUUCAGUUGAUGGCCUAACUUUUUGUAACAAAAACAUGAAAAAAUCGUGAACCAUCUUUUAAUAAAAAGUUUUGAAUAGUUUCUUAUUCUGUGACAAUGUGUUAUGUUCAUAUUGCAUGUACGUUUUGUUGAAUAAACACAUUAUAGACCAUGACAA